GAUGAACGCUGGCGGCGUGCCUAAUACAUGCAAGUCGAGCGAACAGACGAGGAGCUUGCUCCUCUGACGUUAGCGGCGGACGGGUGAGUAACACGUGGAUAACCUACCUAUAAGACUGGGAUAACUUCGGGAAACCGGAGCUAAUACCGGAUAAUAUAUUGAACCGCAUGGUUCAAUAGUGAAAGACGGUUUUGCUGUCACUUAUAGAUGGAUCCGCGCCGCAUUAGCUAGUUGGUAAGGUAACGGCUUACCAAGGCAACGAUGCGUAGCCGACCUGAGAGGGUGAUCGGCCACACUGGAACUGAGACAGGGUCCAGACUCCUAAGGGAGGCAGCAGUAGGGAAUCGUCCGCAAUGGGCGAAAGCCUGACGGAGCAACGCCGCGUGAGUGAUGAAGGUCUUCGGAUCGUAAAACUCUGUUAUUAGGGAAGAACAAAUGUGUAAGUAACUAUGCACGUCUUGACGGUACCUAAUCAGAAAGCCACGGCUAACUACGUG
rnacentral:rRNA from 1 species